AUUGAACGCUGGCGGCAUGCUUUACACAUGCAAGUCGAACGGUAACAGGCCUUCGGGUGCUGACGAGUGGCGAACGGGUGAGUAAUGCAUCGGAACGUGCCCAGAGGUGGGGGAUAACGCAGCGAAAGCUGUGCUAAUACCGCAUGUGAUCUGAGGAUGAAAGCGGGGGACCAGGCAGCAAUGUUUGGCCUCGCGCCUUUGGAGCGGCCGAUGUCAGAUUAGGUAGUUGGUGGGGUAAAGGCCUACCAAGCCGACGAUCUGUAGCUGGUCUGAGAGGACGACCAGCCACACUGGAACUGAGACACGGCCCAGACUCCUACGGGAGGCAGCAGUGGGGAAUUUUGGACAAUGGGCGCAAGCCUGAUCCAGCAAUGCCGCGUGCGGGAAGAAGGCCUUCGGGUUGUAAACCGCUUUUGUACGGAACGAAAAGGCUCUGGCUAAUACCUGGAGCUGAUGACGGUACCGUAAGAAUAAGCACCGGCUAACUACGUG
rnacentral:rRNA from 1 species